GCGGGCUGAGCGCGUUGGCUCGCCGUUGGCGGCGCGAGUGGCUCGGAAACGCGCACGUUCCCAGCGGGCCGCCUUGCGCCUCCCUUCGGACUGUGCCCAUCGAAAGCUGGCAGUGCUUUCGCGUGGCAACACAGGAGGGAAGAGCAGCCCUCUCGCUGAAACCCGGGCAGGGCUGCUGCGCUCUGCUCCGGAGCCUGUCGCGGGAGACACGCGGGGUUGCCGCCUGCCGGCCUGGCGCCGACCAGGAACGGGAGGACUGUAACUGAAUUGUGAACAAUAGUUUGCCUGCCUCAAAGAAUGGCCUCCUGAAAAAAAAUCAACGCAGCUGAAUGCAGGUAAAAUAGCAGUUGAAUGGUUAUCCUUUUUGUUAAAAGGCAAGAACAGAAGUGGCUGGUUGCUGGACUGUCGAAAACGCGGCAUUGAUGUAAGAGACGGAAGAAACACUGAAGCUUUUCGUCCGUUUUAUGCAGAGAUUGAUUGGAAUGGGGCUCAUAUUGAUGGACUUGAGUUCUACUCACCUGCGUUUGCCUAGCAUACAUUUGGUUUUAAGAAUUUUCACUUUUUUGUGGUUAGAAUGGUUUAGGGAUUGUUUUUACUCUACAGUAAAAAUGAAGUGGUUAAAAUGGAGCUUGGUCACACAGAUAGCAAUCAUAUUCUGUAUUGAUCCUCCAUAGAGUCUUCAUAUUAAGGGUGGUGGAAAACCCUGGUUCUCCUCCCUGGUAACCUGGACAAACCUCCUUGUGACCAGCUUUAUGGCCGUCACUUGAACCUGGAGCAUGAGCUAUCCAUUAAAUCUAAGUGGAUAACUGUUGGAAUAUAACUUUUUUAACAGGCUGAGAUGAACAGUCACUAAUUCCUUGCAGGACAUACAGGAAUCUGAGUUGGUAAAUUGAGAGGGGCUGCGGAUUAGACUAUGAAACAGGAAGUCCCCAGAUUUCACCGCUGUCAUAAACUCAGAGCCAAGCUACAAGUGAUGCCUGACACAGGUUGGACACUUGUCAGCUUCCCUCAAGUUUUGAUGGGAAAUGUAGGCGCCCUGG